rnacentral:rRNA from 1 species
AUGAGGAGCGAGGGGGUGAUCAAGGCCGGCGGAAGGGAGAGGUCGUCGUCGCCGUGGAGGUCGCUCCUUGGCGGCUGCCUGGGCGGCGCGGCGGGCGACCACGGGGCGAAGAAGAAGCCCCGCCCGCGCUCCGGCGGCGGCGGCGGGCUGCGGCGGCUGUCGUUCACGGACCUGAGCGGCGCGGCGGACGAGGACCUGUCCAUCUCCCUCGUGGGGUCCAACCUGCACGUGUUCACCGUCGCCGAGCUGCGUGCCGCCACGGGCGAGUUCGCGGACGACAACUUCCUGGGCGAGGGCGGGUUCGGCCCCGUGUACAAGGGCUUCGUCGGCGGCGGCGUCAAGCCGGGGCUCAAGCCGCAGGCCAUCGCCGUGAAGCUCUGGGACCCCGAGGGCGCGCAGGGCCACAAGGAAUGGCUGGCGGAGGUGAUCUUCCUGGGGCAGCUGCGGCACCCCAACCUGGUGAAGCUGGUGGGCUACUGCUGCGAGGACGCCCACCGCCUCCUCGUCUACGAGUACAUGCCCAACGGCAGCCUCGAGAACCACCUCUUCGUCAAACAGGUUCCUUCGGCGCUGUCGUGGUCGACGCGGCUCAACAUCGCCGUCGGCGCCGCGAAGGGGCUGGCGUUCCUCCACGACGCCGAGAAGCCGGUCAUCUACCGCGACUUCAAGGGCUCCAACAUCCUCCUCGACUCAGACAAGAAGCCGAAGCUGUCGGACUUCGGGCUGGCCAAGGACGGGCCGGAGGGGGACGACACGCACGUGUCGACGCGGGUCAUGGGCACCCACGGCUACGCGGCGCCGGAGUACAUCAUGACGGGCCACCUCACGGCGAAGAGCGACGUGUAUAGUUUUGGGGUGGUGCUGCUGGAGAUCCUCACCGGCCGGCACUCGGUGGACAAGACCCGGCCCAGCAGGGAGCAGAACCUGGUGGAGUACGCGCGGCCCGGGCUCAGGGACCCGCUCAAGCUGGCGCGCCGGAUCAUGGACCCGGCGCUGGAGGGCCGGUACCCGGCCGCCGCGGCGCAGAAGGCGGCCGCGGUGGCGCACCAGUGCCUGAGCAGCAGCCCCAAGAACCGGCCGGACAUGUCGGCCGUCGUGGAGGCGCUCGAGCCGCUGCUCUCCGUCACGGAGGACGUCGCCGUGGGGCCGGUGGUGCUGUUCGUGGCCGCGCCGGAGCCGGCGGCGGCGGAGGAGAAGGAGAGGAAGGAGCGGCCGUCGAGGACGGCGAGGGACGUCGGCGCGCACCACCGGCGGAGGCUCCGGUCGCCCAAGGGCAGCCCCAGGAAGCGAGGGGCCGGGCCGAAGGAGGAGUUCUGGGUGUGGCACGUGCCGGCCGAGGACGACAAGAAGGCGUGA